AACUCAAUUUAUUUUAAAAUGAAUGUAAUGGAUGUAACACAUCUAAUACUAAGUUUCAACAACGGAUCUCUUGGCUCUCGCAUCGAUGAAGAACGCAGCGAAAUG
rnacentral:rRNA from 1 species